ACACCUCAACUCCCAUGGUUCGCCAUGGUGAGCUUGGACUUUGGAGGGUCUUGCUGGCCUGUGGUCAGCUCCUCUCAAAUGAAUCAGCUUGCCAGUGUUUGGUGGCAUCACGGGUGUGAUAAAUAUCUACGCUUGUGGUUUCCUGCCAGGUAACCUUCAGUAAUGGGGGUUCGCUGGGGCUCAUAAACGUCUCUCCUCAGUGAAGACAGCUUUGUGAAU
rnacentral:misc_RNA from 1 species